AGCAAUAAUGACCUGUGGGCUGGGCUGCAGCAAAGAGAGGGACUGAACCUCCUUCGAUUUGAGUGCCCCAGCCUCAGCCUCCCCCCCCAGCUGCCUGCAGCUCCAGGCAGGAUGGACAGAGCAUGUGCUGCGAGCCUCCCCUGCCAAAAAUGAUGACGAGGUUCAAGGAGAAAAUAAGUUACAUUACAGUUUCCAAAAUGGUCCUGGCUCUCCGCUGCAGAUGGGUCACCACCGUCAGGUCUGUGAUGCACUUGCCGUCCCAGCUUGUGCUUUUUGCGAGAAGAGGGGGAUAUAACUAGACUGGUUAUUUUAGGUUAAAAUAGCCGGGACAGACGCCUUCGCCUCAAAAAUAUUCUGAGACAACAUGAAAGUAGAAGGAAACAAGUCUCUUCAGUCACAAAAGGCCGUACAUCCCGCAUAUUACUAGAUUCAAUUAAUUUAAUAAAAUAGAAUAUACACAGA